UUUGAUUAAAUUUCAAGUAUCUGCCUGCAACAAUUUGGAACUCUUCCAUAGAUUUCUCAGGGUUAGUUCUUUUUAAAGAUCAUGGACGCUGCCAAAUAGAAAUAGUAGAGUUGGAACAUGUAAUAAACCAGAACAAGUCUAAAAGCAAGUGAUUCAGAUUCAAUUCAGUGACUGGAUACUUUAUACAAGUCUUUGAUCAAUUAAGCAAUCAAGAACUAUCAUUGAGUUGAGGAAGAGAAGAGGCUUCAAUUCACAACAGUUAUAUGAACAUGAAAAUGCAGUGUCAGAAGAGAAAACAACAUAAAUGAAUCAAUUAAAUAAAUAAAAAAGAAAACAGUAAGAAUUGAAGUAGAAGAUGAUGAUGGAGAAAGAAGAAUACCUCUUCCCUAUGUGUUGCUCUCUCAACAGCAUCAAGGUUCCUUCUUGAAGAAGCAUUCUUCCUUGCCACCACACAAUCCACAGAAGCAGAAGCAUGAUCUGAUGCGAAUCCAAUUCCAGGG
rnacentral:lncRNA from 1 species